rnacentral:rRNA from 1 species
UACGUAGGGGCGAGCGUUGUCCGGAAUCAUUGGGCGUAAAGCGCGUGUAGGCGGUCCGGUAAGUCCGCUGUGAAAGUCGGGGGCUCAACCCUCGGAUGCCGGUGGAUACUGUCGGGCUUGAGUACGGAAGAGGCGAGUUGGAAUUCCUGGUGUAGCGGGUGAAAUGGCGCAGGAUAUCAGGAGGAACACCAAUUGCGAAGGCAGCUCGCUGGGACGUUACUGACGCUGAGGAACGAAAGCGUGGGGAGCGAACAGG